rnacentral:lncRNA from 1 species
ACUCCAUGACGCACGAGUCACUCACAAAAUCUGCAGAGAGCACGCACAGUGUAGCUGCCCAGCUCUCCUUGCAGAGAGCAGGACACAAGAGAUCUCUCCCAUUGCUUCCCCCUCCCUGGAUUUGGGCCCCAAGAAAGACCUUGAGGGGCUGGAGCGGGUCCAGAGAAGGGCAACGGAGCUGAGUUUCCAAGGUGUUACCCCAACGAAGGAGAAACAUCAUAACGAAGGGAAACAUUGGAAAGGCCAAAGUGAGAAGGAAAGCAGGAGGAAAGGGGUUGAGUCUGGAGGUGUCCUACCCAUGAGAACUACCUGCCUCCUUCCAAAGCAGCAUCAUCUCAAGGGGCAGCAGCACUUCCAUCCACCACUGCUCUUGGCCAGACAGUGAGGAUGGGCACACCCCCGGAGGUGCAGAGGUAGGAGGUUGAAGCCAAGCAGCCCAAUUUCACAGCUGGUUGUGAAAAAGCCCAGGGGGGAGUGCCCUAUGAUUUUGGGGGGCAGUGUGAAAAUUUGGCCCCCAAAUUGUCUCUAGAGAGAGUUACCAGCAGCAUUAGUGGUUCCUCAGCCCAGAGGGGCUCUGGGCUGUGCCAAUGCUUAUGCUGCAGCGAGAGAAAUCUCAUUUCUAACCACCACCUGUAAGGCUCUGGAUGUAAGAACUGUAACACAAAUUAAGCUGAACUUUUAAAACACAUUUCAAGCAAGCAUCUGAAAGCACUUUGCAAACAAACAUGAAGGUGUUAAGCUUCACAACAACUAGGUGAAGAUGAAUAUUUGUCUUCUAAGUAGAGAUUCAGAGAAGUGGAAGAAUAAGAGAUAGGACUGAUUCAGUAUGGUAUAAAGUGAAGGUUGAAACCAAAACCUUUUUUUUGGAGUUAUAUGGAUUUGAUGGGGAAUAGGAACAUUUUGAGUUACGAAUUUGGGGAUUUUCAGAUUUGCUAAGGGAAUUUGGUACCCAUUGACAUAUAGGGAAUUAGAAAGAUGAUAAC